AUCUCAUUCACUUUAUUGUCUGUAUUCAAACAUUGUACAGCAGGCUGAGUUUGUUACCCUGGAAACAUGGAUACAGCUUUUGAAGUCAAUGCACUCAUUAAAGAUGAACCAUCACCCAUCUUGUUGUACACUGCAGUUUUUCUAAUGACACACACUUUUGCUUUUAGCUACUUUUAG